rnacentral:rRNA from 1 species
GAACUGAAGAGUAUGAUCAUGGCUCAGAUUGAACGUUGGCGGCAGGCCUCAUACAUGCAAGUCGAACGCGAAAGGCCCUUCGGGGCUGAGUAGAGUGGCGAACGGGUGAGUAACGCGUAGGAAUCUACCCGGCAGUGGGGGACAACUCGGGGAAACUCGAGCUAAUACCGCAUGUGAUCGCCGGCAUUCGUGCCGGCGAUGAAAGCGGGGGAUCACCCCGUCGCGACUUCGGUUGUGGCGGGAAGACCUCGCGCUGUCGGAGGAGCCUGCGUUGGAUUAGCUUGUUGGUGGGGUAAUGGCCUACCAAGGCGAC